rnacentral:misc_RNA from 1 species
UGUGAUGAUUAGUUUUCAGUGAUGGCCUGCUGGGAGCGAACAGACAAGAAAAGAAUGAGGAAUUCUGAACCAAAUGAAGAUGAAAAUAUAUGUUAUACAAAUUCAUGACUCCAAUAAUUGAAGUUUGAAGAAAAAAAAUAUAAGGUCUUGAUCUUGUAGUUGAUCAUAGACUCUUACUUCUUCAUCCUCUAGAGCAAGAACAUGACAUCUAGAAGAAGAAGAAGAAGGAGAAAGAAAG